rnacentral:tRNA from 7 species
GCUGGAGUAGCUCAGUUGGUAGAGCAGCGGUUUUGUAAACCGCAGGUCGUGGGUUCGAGUCCCUUCUCCAGCUCCA